UGAAACUACAUUUCCCAGAGGCCAUGGCAGGCUUUUUGGCGUUCCUCUUAGGGCAGCUAAUUCUCCCGGCGCUAAGCAGCACGUGCGGGCUUUCGUUACGUCCAAGUCAGGCUCGGCGUGCUCCUCAGUCCUGAAGUAACGCCGGGAAGGGCAGUGACCAGCGAAAAGUUAACGCGGUUAAAGUCGGUCCGUCGCCGCGGGGAGCGGAUCGGAGGCGGUAGCGGAGGACGUAGUAAGAGACAAAGCGGCCAGGGGAGAUGAGAGACAGAGGACAGAAAACUACAGUCUGAGAAUCAGCUGUCAGCUUGAUCAAAAUUCCGAGAGCCAAGAUCAAUACUGAACCAACAAAAACAACCUGUGGACAGGAGGCUUUACUAUGAAGCAUGAGAAAAGGACUGAAAGACUAACUUUAAGGAAAUCUUUACAUCUCCUGGCAUUCUUCCCAUCAAACAAGGCCAUGUAGAAUGCACCUGCUGCUCCCUGGACUCAGAAAGGUUUCCUACAUGGCCCAUCACUUUGUGAGUUACCUGUUCAACAUACAGCUUCAAAGAGAGGCCCUCUCUGAUCACUCCUUCUACAAUAAAGCUUCUGUUAACUGA